rnacentral:misc_RNA from 1 species
GAUGAAGAACGUAGCGAAAUGCGAUACGUAAUGUGAAUUGCAGAAUUCAGUGAAUCAUCGAGUCUUUGAACGCACAUUGCGCCCCCUGGUAUUCCGGGGGGCAUGCCUGUCCGAGCGUCAUUGCUGCCCUCAAGCACGGCUUGUGUGUUGGGCCUCCGUCCUCCUCCCGGGGGACGGGCCCGAAAGGCAGCGGCGGCACCGCGUCCGGUCCUCGAGCGUAUGGGGCUUCGUUACCCGCUCUUGUAGGCCCGGCCGGCGCUUGCCGACACAUCAAUCUUUUUCCAGGUUGACCUCGGAUCAGGUAGGGAUACCCGCUGAACUUAAGCAUAUCAAUAAGCGGAGGA